ACACUGUCCUCAAGAUGACAAUUGAACAUGUUUCUUUUUAAUAAUCUAACUGAUGCUUUUUUUGAACAUAAAUCAGGAUAUUGGCUCCAACUACCUACAUAUUUUUUUGCAUCGGCUCUUCCAGUAAUUGCCUUUGGAUAACAAUUGAGCAGAGAUAUAGGUUCUUUGUCUUGGGAAACAUCUUGAUGGUAUUCAGAGGUUGAAGACAAUCGCAAAAACAUCUGAUGUCUACAUUCCGCUGGUGUUGCCAUGACGAUAAGAAUUUACACCAUCUUAAUUAAUGUAUUAAGUAUACAUAUCCAGUAAACGUAUAUAUUCAAACUAAGAUUUCUGCUGGCAAUGGAUUUUCUCUGCGAAAAUUGGUUAAAACAGCAGAUUGAGGGCAAAUUAUGUUUUACGGGAUUGUUAGCCAGUCUUUUCCUCAGAGUUGUUAACAUGGAUCGGGUUCGAGUAAAGUUCAAUUUUUUGCCGGACCUUCGCUAGAUGAGCCAUUUUUAGUUUUGAAUUGUCCACCAGUGCGGAAAAUGCUUCUUCUUGGCCAUUUUCAGAAUCAUCGAAACUUCAUACUACUGAAAAGCGCAAAUGGUCUCAAGCAGCGAAGAUGCAGUUCUUACAGUAAAAGAAGCUCUAAGAUAUGGUUUAUUCCUUGGUACUUUCCCUGGUACAUUGUAUCAGCUAAUGAAAUUGUAUCCGCUUGGGGAAGUCCUUGAAUGUAAAACAGUAUCUAUAUAGAUAUAUACACGCCUUUGUAUAUGUAUGUGUGUGUUAAUAAAUUCGGUUGUUUUCAGUUUGUUAAGCAUAAUUAUG